rnacentral:rRNA from 1 species
AGUUUGAUCCUGGCUCAGAACGAACGCUGGCGGCAGGCUUAACACAUGCAAGUCGAACGCCCCGCAAGGGGAGUGGCAGACGGGUGAGUAACGCGUGGGAAUCUACCGAGCCCUACGGAAUAACGCAUGGAAACGUGUGCUAAUACCGUAUACGCCCUUAGGGGGAAAGAUUUAUCGGGGUUUGAUGAGCCCGCGUUGGAUUAGCUAAGUUGGUGGGGUAAAGGCCUACCAAAGGCGACGAUCCAUAGCUGGUCUGAGAGGGAUGAUCAAGCCACAUUGGGACUGAGACACGGGCCCAAACUCCUACGGGAGGCAAGCAAGUGGGGGAAUA